AAACGACUCUCGGCAACGGAUAUCUCGGCUCACGCAUCGAUGAAGAACGUAGCAAAAUGCGAUACUUGGUGUGAAUUGCAGAAUCCCGUGAACCAUCGAGUUUUUGAACGCAAGUUGCGCCCGAAGCCGUUCGGUUGAGGGCACGUCUGCCUGGGCGUCACGCA
rnacentral:rRNA from 1 species